UGUUUUUCCAUUCUAAUCUCACGAUGUCA
rnacentral:piRNA from 1 species